rnacentral:sRNA from 1 species
UACCUUGACUUUGGGACUAUCAUUUGC